rnacentral:rRNA from 1 species
UACGUAGGUGACAAGCGUUAUCCGGAAUUACUGGGCGUAAAGCGCACGCAGGCGGCUGCUUAAGUCUGACGUGAAAUCUCCUGGCUUAACUGGGAGGGGUCGUUGGAAACUGAGUAGCUUGAGGUGGUGAGAGGGGUGCAGAAUUCCCGGUGUAGUGGUGGAAUGCGUAGAUAUCGGGAGGAAUACCAGUGGCGAAAGCGGCACCCUGGCACUGACCUGACGCUCAUGUGCGAAAGCGUGGGGAGCAAACGGG